GACGAAGGAUGCAAGCGUUAUCCGGAUUCAUUGGGUUUAAAGGGAGCGUAGGUGGCCUUAUAAGUCAGUGGUGAAAUCUCUCGGCUUAACCGAGAAAUUGCCAUUGAUACUGUAGGGCUUGAGUAUAGAUGCCGUUGGCGGAAUAUGACAUGUAGUGGUGAAAUACAUAGAGAUGCGGAGGAAUACCAGUGGCGAAGGCGGCCUUCUGGGACUCAACUGACGCUGAAGCGCGAAAGCAUGGGGAGCGAACGGG
rnacentral:rRNA from 1 species